AUUGAACGCUGGCGGCAGGCCUAACACAUGCAAGUCGAACGGUAACAGGAAGCGGCUUGCUGCUUCGCUGACGAGUGGCGGACGGGUGAGUAAUGUCUGGGAAACUGCCUGAUGGAGGGGGAUAACUACUGGAAACGGUAGCUAAUACCGCAUAACGUCGCAAGACCAAAGAGGGGGACCUUCGGGCCUCUUGCCAUCGGAUGUGCCCAGAUGGGAUUAGCUAGUAGGUGGGGUAACGGCUCACCUAGGCGACGAUCCCUAGCUGGUCUGAGAGGAUGACCAGCCACACUGGAACUGAGACACGGUCCAGACUCCUACGGGAGGCAGCAGUGGGGAAUAUUGCACAAUGGGCGCAAGCCUGAUGCAGCCAUGCCGCGUGUAUGAAGAAGGCCUUCGGGUUGUAAAGUACUUUCAGCGGGGAGGAAGGUGUUGAGGUUAAUAACCUCAGCAAUUGACGUUACCCGCAGAAGAAGCACCGGCUAACUCCGUGCCAGCCGCCGCCGUAACAC
rnacentral:rRNA from 1 species